rnacentral:rRNA from 1 species
GGACAGUGGCGAAUGGGUGAGUAACGCGUAAGUAACCUGCCCCUAAGUAAGGGAUAACUUCGAGAAAUUGGAGCUAAUACUGUAUGUGGUGAUGGGGGUAAGGCUUCGUCACUAAAGCCUUCGGGUGCUUGGGGAGGGGCUUGCGUCCGAUUAGCUAGUUGGUAAGGUAACGGCCUACCAAGGCGAUGAUCGGUAGCUGGUCUGAGAGGACGAUCAGCCACACUGGGACUGAGACACGGCCCAGACUCCUACGGGAGGCAGCAGCAAGGAAUUUUGUGCAAUGGGCGAAAGCCUGACACAGCGACGCCGUGUGGGGGAUGAAGGCCUUCGGGUUGUAAACCCCUUUUCUCAGGGAAGAAUAAUGACGGUACCUGAGGAAUAAGUCGUGGCUAACUACGUGCCAGCAGCCGCGGUAAUACGUAGGCGGCGAGCGUUAUCCGGAUUUACUGGGCGUAAAGAGGGCGUAGGCGGUUUUUCAAGUCGAUUGUAAAAUCUCCCGGCUUAACUGGGAGGAGCCAUUCGAUACUGUUAGACUAGAGAGCAGCAGGGGGAGGUGGAAUUCCCGGUGUAGUGGUGAAAUGUGUAGAUAUCGGGAGGAACACCAGUGGCGAAGGCGGCCUCCUAGGCUGUUUCUGACGCUGAGGUCCGAAAGCGUGGGGAGCAAACAGGAUCAGAUACCCUGGUAGUCCACGCUGUAAUCGAUGGACACUAGGUAUAGGGAGUAUCGACCC